CCUACGGGGUGCAGCAGUCGAGAAUCAUUCACAAUGGGGGAAACCCUGAUGGUGCGAAGCCGCGUGGGGGAAUGAAGGUCUUCGGAUUGUAAACCCCUGUCAUGAGGGAGCAAAUUAAAAAGAUAGUACCACAAGAGGAAGAGACGGCUAACUCUGUGCGAGCAGCCGCGGUAAUACAGAGGUCGCAAGCGUUGUUCGGAAUCACUGGGCGUAAAGCGUGCGUAGGCGGUUUCGUAAGUCGUGUGUGAAAGGCGCGGGCUCAACCCGCGGACGGCACAUGAUACUGCGAGACUAGAGUAAUGGAGGGGAAAGCGGAAGUCCCGGUGUAGCGGUGAAAGGCGUAGAUAUCAGGAAGAACACUCGUGGCGAAGGCGGGUUCCUGGACAUUAACUGACGCUGAGGCUCGAAGGCCAGGGGAGCGAAAGGGAUUAGAUACCCGAGUAGUC
rnacentral:rRNA from 1 species